AUACGGAGGAUGCAAGCGUUAUCCGGAUUUAUUGGGUUUAAAGGGUGCGUAGGCGGUUUGCUAAGCGGGAGGUGAAAUGCCGGCGCUCAACGUCGGAAGUGCCUCCCGAACUGGUGGACUUGAAUGACUCUGCCGUGGGAGGAAUGUGUAGUGUAGCGGUGAAAUGCUUAGAGAUUACACAGAACACCGAUUGCGAAGGCAUCUCACGAAGGGUUGAUUGACGCUGAGGCACGAAAGCGUGGGGAUCAAACAGGAUUAGAUACCCUGGUAGUCCACGCAGUAAACGAUGAUGGCUAACCGCUGGGCUUAUCAGUUCAGUGGCCAAGCGAAAGCGAUAAGCCAUCCACCUGGGGAGUACGUUCGCAAGAAUGAAACUCAAAUGAAUUGACGGGG
rnacentral:rRNA from 1 species